rnacentral:tRNA from 1 species
GCUUAUAGGAACAUUAUGGUUAGUGUUCUAGACUGGUAGACUGGAGGUGGUGGGUUCGAUUCCCACCUGAGGCA